GGCAGUUUUCCCGCGAAGACACUAACACGCCCGGCCUGAAAAUGGAGGGAAGGGACGGAAGUCGGAGGCUGAGAGACUAGGGAACACUACCCCACACACACAAAAUGUGACGUGAGGAAAGCAACAAGAGGGAGAAGAGGAAAGAUGAGGCUACUGAGUGCGCCCAGAGCGUAUCCGGACCAAAGGGUUUACCACAUUGGCUGGUGUGUCCUUCUUUAUCUCCGAGUCCCCAGCCCCUGGCAAGUCCCUGGCGCCCUGUGAGCUCUGAUAAAAGUACGAUGAAUUGGAACCUGGAACUGGACUGACAGCUCCCAAGUUCAUAUCUCCGCCUCAUCUCCCUUUAAAGUCUAGACAUGUAAAUCCAUCUGCCUCCAUGCAUCCGCCCCCGCAGCACCUCCGUCGGAUGCCUAAUAGAUUCUCAGAUGUUUCAUGCCUUCCGUAUUGCUCCUUCCCCCAUCAUCUCAUGAGCAGGCAACUAACAGUCUCUGCCACUUCUCCUUACUGUGGACUUAGGCUCAAGUAUCACCUUUUCAAAGAGCUCUUCCUUUUCAAAUAGGUCUUGAACACCCUAAAACAGCUCCUUUAUCCUCUCUGCUCCCGGGCUUUUCCCAGCAGUCUGUUCUUUUGUUUUGCUUUACUUUUUUCUUCCUGAUACUUAUAACUACCUGAAAUUAUAUGUCUGCUGCCUGUCUCCCACACUCUUUGAGGACAGGGACCUAUUCUGUCUUGUUCUUCUCUGUAUCCCUAGUGGGAAAAACAGAAUUUGACACAUAGGAAAUACUCAGUAUUUAUCAAAUGAAUGAGCUCUUGUAACAAAAUCUUAGUCAUCAUGCCAAAUGCAAAUAUUCGUGGAACUCAAUCCUAUUCAUAAUUUCAAACUUAGCGGUGUCCCCACACACCUGUAAUCCCAGCUUCUUGGGAGGCUGAGGCAGGAGGAUCGCUUGAGGCCAGGAGCUGCCAGUCUGGGCAACAUACAGAGACCCUAUCUCAAAAUUUUUCUUUUUUGGUUUUGGGAUACAUGUGAAGAACACGCAAGAUUGUUGCAUAGGUACACACAUGGCAGCGUGAUUUGCUGCCUUCCUCCCCUUCACCUAUUCAAAGAUUCUUAAAAUAUAAACAAAUUUUUAAAAAUAUAAAGAAUACCAACACUAAAUCUAUUCUGCAACCAACCCCAACUUUGUCCAUAGAUUAUGGUCAUUGGUCCUACCCCCUUCACACACACACACACAUACACACACAGUGAUGGUCCAGAUUCCAUAUGAUAUAGGUGGGGCUUUGGCAUGAUAAUCCCAUUGGAAGGUGGUCCUGAAGGUUUACUUUGCCUGUAAAUUUACAAAACAUUAAGAAAAUGUCCACUAUCCAUUUGAAAGAAGGGAGACUGAUGGAGGAGAUGGCACUAAAGGUCCCAGGCUUCCUCUUAGUACCCCCACCUCUUUUAUCUGCCUAAUCCCCAGACCACAAACCUGGGAAAUUAUUGACUCCACCCUCUAUCUAAUUUACUGAGCACAAGUAAUUUUGUGUCUAAUUUACUGAGCACAAGUAAUUUUGCCUCCAAAUAUUUCAUCCAUUCUUCUUCACUUACCAUAGCAUCUGCUCUGUUUUAGGUCCCUUCAUCAUCCUAACUAUUGCAAAAACCUCCUGAAUGGUCUCUCUGGCCAGAGUUUCUUCUCUAUCCCAGCCAUGUACCCUACAAGUGCUGCCAUGAUCUUUCUUGAGUGGAUAUUCUAGGCUGUUUGGGUCCGGCUCCAGAUCCUGCUCCUUCUGACACUCUUUUGUAUUCCCCACCCCAGGGUCCCACAUCACACUCUAAAUAAGUAAUUCCAGUCUGGCUCAUAUGUUUUAUUUGCUUAGCUACUUGUAUGUCCUCACAUUAAAUAAACGGUGAGCUUCUCAAGA